rnacentral:rRNA from 1 species
AGUGAACGCUGGCGGCAUGCUUAACACAUGCCAGUCGAACGGUAACACGCUUUCGGGUUGUGAUGAGUGGCGAACGGGUGAGUAAGGCAUCGGAACGUGCCCAGAGCUGGGGUUUAACGCAGCGUAAGGUGUGCUAAUAUCGCAUGUGAUCGGAGGCUGAAAGCGGGGGACCGGGCAGCAAUGUUUGGCCUCGCGCCUUUGGAGCGGCCGAUGUCGGAUUAGGUAGUUGGUGGGGUAAAGGCCCACCAAGCCGACGAUCUGUAGCUGGUCUGAGAGGACGAUCAGCCACACUGGAACUGAGACACGGUCCAGACUCCUACGGGAGGCAGCAGUGGGGAAUAUUGGACAAUGGGCGCAAGCCUGAUCCAGCCAUGCCGCGUGGGGGAAGAAGGCCUUCGGGUUGUAAAGCCCUUUUGUGGGGAAAGAAAAGCAUCAGGCUAAUACCCCGGGGUGAUGACGGUACCGAAAGAAUAAGCACCGGCUAACUACGUG